rnacentral:rRNA from 1 species
ACGAACGCUGGCGGCGUGCCUAACACAUGCAAGUCGAGCGGAGACAGUGAGUAGCUUGCUAUGAACUGUUUUAGCGGCGGACGGGUGAGUAACGCGUGAGCAACCUUUCCCAGACAGGGGAAUAACACACCGAAAGGUGUACUAAUACCGCAUAAGACCACGGGAUCACAUGGUUCUGAGGUAAAAGAUUUAUCGGUUUGGGGUGGGCUCGCGUCCGAUUAGGUAGUUGGUGAGGUAACGGCCCACCAAGCCGACGAUCGGUAGCCGACCUGAGAGGGUGAUCGGCCACAUUGGGACUGAGACACGGCCCAAACUCCUACGGGAGGCAGCAGUGGGGAAUAUUGGGCAAUGGGGGAAACCCUGACCCAGCAACGCCGCGUGGAGGAAGAAGGUUUUCGGAUCGUAAACUCCUGUCCUUGGAGACGAGUAGAAGACGGUAUCCAAGGAGGAAGCCCCGGCUAACUACGUGCCAGCAGCCGCGGUAAUACGUAGGGGGCAAGCGUUGUCCGGAAUAAUUGGGCGUAAAGGGCGCGUAGGCGGCUCGGUAAGUCUGGAGUGAAAGUCCUGCUUUUAAGGUGGGAAUUGCUUUGGAUACUGUCGGGCUUGAGUGCAGGAGAGGUUAGUGGAAUUCCCAGUGUAGCGGUGAAAUGCGUAGAGAUUGGGAGGAACACCAGUGGCGAAGGCGACUAACUGGACUGUAACUGACGCUGAGGCGCGAAAGUGUGGGGAGCAAACAGGAUUAGAUACCCUGGUAGUCCACACUGUAAACGAUGAAUGCUAGGUGUAGGGGGUAUCGACCCCUUCUGUGCCGCAGUCAACACAAUAAGCAUUCCGCCUGGGGAGUACGGCCGCAAGGUUGAAACUCAAAGGAAUUGACGGGGGCCCGCACAAGCAGCGGAGCAUGUGGUUUAAUUCGACGCAACGCGAAGAACCUUACCAGGUCUUGACAUCCACUUAAACUUACAGAGAUGUAAGGUGUGCUUGCACAAAG